GAGGAAUACAUCGGAAUCUACUUUUUCUUGGGGGAUAACGUAUGGAAACUUACGCUAAUACCGCAUACGACCUACGGGUGAAAGCAGGGGACCUUCGGGCCUUGCGCGAUUGAAUGAGCCGAUGUCGGAUUAUCUAGUUGGCGGGGUAAAGGCCCACCAAGGCGACGAUCCGUAUCUGGUCUGAGAGGAUGAUCACCCACACUGGAACUGAGACACGGUCAGACUCCUACGGGAGGCAGCAGUGGGGAAUAUUGGACAAUGGGCGCAAGCCUGAUCCAGCCAUACCGCGUGGGUGAAAAAGGCCUUCGGGUUGUAAAGCCCUUUUGUUGGGAAAGAAAUCCAGCUGGCUAAUACCCGGUUGGGAUGACGGUACCCAAAGAAUAAGCACCGGCUAACUUCGUGCCAGCAGCCGCGGUAAUACGAAGGGUGCAAGCGUUACUCGGAAUUACUGGGCGUAAAGCGUGCGUAGGUGGUCGUUUAAGUCCGUUGUGAAAGCCCUGGGCUCAACCUGGGAACUGCAGUGGAUACUGGGCGACUAUAGUGUGGUAGAGGGUAGCGGAAUUCCUGGUGUAUCAGUGAAAUGCGUAUAGAUCACGAGGAACAUCCAUGGCGAAGGCAGCUACCUGGACCAACACUGACACUGAGGCACGAAAGCGUGGGGAGCAAACAGGAUUAUAUACCCUGGUAGUCCACGC
rnacentral:rRNA from 1 species